rnacentral:rRNA from 2 species
CACAUUGCGCCCGCCAGUAUUCUGGCGGGCAUGCCUGUCCGAGCGUCAUUU